AAAUAGAAUGUUAAAUUUAAUUUUUUUUUGGAAAGUACAAAAGGCAAGUCAUAAUAACAUAUACUUUUCUCAAGAGAUGAGAACCCUCAAAAAAAAAAAAAAAAAAAAAAUUAGUAAGAAGAAAAAGUGUAACACACUCAAAUCAUGUGACAUCUUUUCGAAUAAUUCAAUAUUUAUCUAAAUAGUGCAAUAUUUGUAAUAUUAAUACAAAUAUACAACAUUUCUUCAGAACGGUUUAACAUUGCAGCGUUUAUACAAAUAUUGGUAUACUAUACUAUCCAUACAAAUACAUAAUUUGAUGGUUGUGACCGAUGACGUGGCAAAAUUUUAUGCUUCCACAUCAGUUUUGUCACUUCUGAAAUUUCUGCCUAAAGAUUAACCUAAAAACCCUACCCUAAUUUUCCAUUCGCUCUCCUCCUUAUGCCGCCUCUUCCGAGGCUUUUCUCCACGCCCUCUCUUUUCUCUCUCCUCCCUAUGCCCGCCUCUUCCGAGGCGUCUCUCCACGCCCUCCCUCUCUCCUCCGAGGCCUUUCUCUCGCCUCUGCUCACUGCUUUGUCUCUCUACUUCUCUCUCUCAUGAGAACNAGUAAAUUACUGUAUUUCUCCUUUUAGAUUAUUACAGUCAUUUGUAGUUUUGAGUUGUUAGAAUUGUAUAUGGAGAACCGUUAUACGAGAAAUAUUUAAGUAACUAAAAAAGAACAGAUAAAUUGUUUACCAUAUUUUUCCCCAAAAACAAGAUAAUAAACAAUUCACCCAUCCUAAGUUAAAAAAUUCUUUAAAUUUUUAGUGUUAAAAAAAAAUGACAAGAUGAGGGCUCAAUAUGGGGCCUUGGAUGAAGGUGUUGUAAAAUUUACACUUUUUGAGAUGUACUAAUGGCAUUGCUCUGAAUUUAUUUAAAUGAAAAUGUAUGGAGAUCGUGACGCCCCCACUUUCCACCCAGAUCUUCUGUUCCAAAACUAUUCUAGUCCCAGUAUAUUUAAUCCUCUUAAGUUUAAUCACCGCUCAAAAUAAUAUAGCUAGAUUAAAAAAUUUAGUCCUAUUAUGCUUUAUAUAAAAGACUAUCCAUACAAAUACAUAAUUUGAUGGUUGUGACCGAUGACAUGGCGAAGUUUUAUGCUUCCACAUCAGUUUUGUCACUUCUGAAAUUUCUUUCUUUUUCUGUCUAACCCUCUACUUUUUUUUUUGUUGUCAUUUCUGCCUAAAGGUUAACCUAAGAACCCUACCCUAAUUUUCCAUUCUCUCUCCUCCUUAUGCCGCCUCUUUCGAGGCUUCUCUCCACGCCCUCUCUUUUCUCUCUUCUCCCUAUGCCUGCCUCUUCCGAGGCGUCUCUCCACGCCUUCCCUAUAUCCUCUCGCCGCCCCUAUACGCUUCUCCCGAGGCGUCUCUCCACGCCCUCCCUCUCUCCCCUCGUCGCCCCUUUAAGCCUCUCCCGUCUCUCCACGGCCUCCCUCUCUCCUCUCGCCGCCCCUCUAAGCCUCUCCCGAGGCGUCUCUCCAUGCCCUCCCUCUCUCCUCCGAGGCUUUUCUCUCGCCUCUGCUCACUGCUUUGUCUUUCUACCUCUCUUCCUCAUGAGAACCCUAUCCCCCUACCUAUCGA
rnacentral:lncRNA from 1 species